CGGGAUGGUCGGAGUUCUCCAAAGCCGUUUCCACUCUCAAAGCACGUCUCCUUUCGAUUAAGUCUUCUUUCAAUAUCAAGAGGAUGUGAAAUUUGAAAUUCAGCUCGUAAUCCGCCAAAGGGGUCUGAUAUGGAGAUACGGCAACAAGGCUUCCUGUCCUUGCUACAUAGUCUCCUCCCUCCCAGCCGUCUCAUAAAACACAUCCACUCGACAUCCCAAAGAUAGAAUCUUCUAGAAGCCAGCAAGACUGGAGACGGAGAUAAAGAGGAAAGUGUGACUAAGUACACAUAUGCACACGGGCAACAAUGAGGCGUGGUCAAGGCAGAUGCUGGGAGCAAUGACGGUGCAGAAUUCAUUUACAUGGGCAAAACAGCACUUGGCAUGAUGUCGAGAAAAUCCAGUUGCAAAAUCAGAAGAAUCAGACGGCUUGUGCUUAUGGUCUUCCCUCCAAAAGAACUAAAACGUCCAAAUAAAGUCUGUGGCGUAUACGUUGCAGGUAUAAACCCAUCCUUCCCAUUAGGGUGUGGAAGAGACGUGGAUCAAGGGUGCAUGGAGGUGGGUGUGGACUGUAGGGAGUUAAAAGUGCCAUACAAGGAAAACCAAAGGAUAAUGAUCUUUAAGACACAUGAUUGUAGCGUAAAACGAAGCUGCUCUCUUUCUGUGGAACUGCUAAUGAAUGCACCUGUUACAUCACCUCACUCAGGUGCCGGUUUCCCACAGAGAGCUUCUCCCUCUCUGGUUUCUAAAUUCUCUUUCGCUGGGUCCUAAAUUCUGACAAAUGCAUGGUUCUCUGUCCAGUCUUGGUGAAUAGACAACAUAGCAUAGAAUGCAUGAGAUACUGUUUUAAAGAAAAUAAAAACCAAAACCGGUUGGGCCAUACAUGCAUAAAAAAGGUCAUUUUUAUGAUGCCAGCAUGUUUUGCCUACAAACUGUAAUAAUUGGAAUGUGUCCAGAUGUUUAACUCUUUCUCUGCCACUGACGUAAUUUUCUGGCUUUCUGUGUUUUCACUGGUGUAUGGUAGGAGAUGAUAUUACACAUCUUCUGAAAGAAGAUCAAAAGGCAGGGAAGAAGGGAAGAAGAAGAAGCAGAAACCAAGCGAUAGCAUAUAUAAGCUCAAGCAUAUGUGAAAUAACGCAAUCAUCAAGCAUUAAACAGCAUAUAAAUCAAAACUGAUAGGACUUUGAUCAUCAUUCUAAAUCUGAUUCAGAAACUGGAUUUUCUCAGCUUUUUGUUCAAAAUGUU